CGCCCCGGUACCGUCUUGGCGGGCACGCUCGCGCCCCUCUCUAUGGUCAGCGCUUCCGUGUCUAUGGCCCGCCGCGGUGCAUUGUGGGUGCCUGGCGGAACUAUGGUGGCGGUGUAGGGCCCGGCUGCGCAGGGUGGAGGAGGCCGCGCUGAGUGAAGAUGACGACAGCAGCAAGGCCAACGUUUGAACCUGCAAGGGGAGGAAGAGGAAAAGGUGAAGGAGACUUAAGCCAGCUUUCCAAGCAAUAUUCUAGCAGAGAUCUUCCUUCUCACACUAAAAUCAAAUACAGGCAAACCACUCAGGAUGCUCCUGAAGAGGUGCGUAACCGUGACUUCAGAAGGGAGCUGGAGGAGAGAGAACGAGUUGCCGCAAGGGAAAAGAGCAGAGACAGACCAACCAGAGAACAUACAACAUCAUCUUCUGUGUCUAAGAAGCCUCGGCUAGACCAGAUUCCUGCGGCAAAUCUCGAUGCAGAUGAUCCUCUUACUGAUGAAGAUGAUGAAGACGAGGACUUGGAAGACAGUGAUGAUGAUGACACUGCAGCUCUUCUGGCUGAACUGGAAAAAAUCAAGAAAGAACGAGCUGAAGAACAAGCUCGAAAGGAACAAGAGCAAAAGGCUGAAGAGGAAAGAAUUCGGAUGGAGAACAUCCUGAGUGGUAACCCACUGCUGAACCUUACCGGGCCAGCACAGCCUCAGGCAAACUUCAAAGUUAAGAGGAGAUGGGAUGAUGAUGUUGUCUUCAAGAACUGUGCCAAGGGGAUAGAUGAAACAAAAAAGGACAAAAGAUUCGUCAAUGAUACUCUGCGAUCAGAGUUUCACAAAAAGUUCAUGGAGAAAUACAUCAAGUAGUACAGUUUUAUGUGCGGUAGCGCAGAAGGACUUGGAACCCCUCUUCAGUAUGACAGAUAGUUUUCAGCGAGGACAGUGGACCUGGCAAAGGCAAUUUGUUCCAGGAGGUGAAAUGGAAGAAAGUACAUGUUCAGCGUUUCAACAAAGGCAUUAUUUUGCAGUUCCUUGUGAUCAGGAUUGUUUAAUCCUGUGCUUUUGUAAGCACCACCUGAACUUAUGGUAACUGCAUCUGACCAGUAGCUCGACCAGAACCUUCUUGUCACUGAUUUUACCAAAACUUGUCAUUUCAAGUGGGAAGCUUUCAUCAAAAAAUCAAGCAAAGAAAAAAAGAAGCACAAAAUUCCUUGGAAUUCUAAUGUGCCUAGUACAGCUCUAAUGAAAAGAAAGGGUCAUGUAGGUCUAAACAAAUUACAUCUCCUAAUCCAAAUCCCAGUUUGCCACCAAGCCUAAGAAAUACAUCCUGAAGUAGAGGGAAGAAGCACUGUACAGGAGGUGAACAAAGAGAACAGAGAGGUCUGAUUGCUCUCUGUUGAAAUCAGUAUCAUCUGCAUAGGGAAGGAUUAUUUCUAAAUUGUAUUCUAGAAUAUAAUUUGAAAGACCACAACAGGCAUCUGUUAAUGAUAAGUUUUAUGGAAACAGAGACUGUAAAGCAGGCUGUAUUCUGAGGAGCUUAAAUGCUCAGAAGUCAGGGUGAAGGGCAGAAUGAAAACAGUGUUCAGUCCCACAAAAAGAUGUAUUUGGAUGCUGAGUAUUGAGCUCUUCUCCCCUUGGUAUCUGUGUUACUUACAAAUCUGUCACUCCAACCAGCUCUUGUCUCAGAAGUACUCUUGUGAAGAAAUUGGGCUGUUUCUGUUUUCUCUGAGUUGUUUCUAGUGGAUGGCAUUUCAAGCAGUUGGGCUUCCUCCAGUGGAAAAUGGUUUUUUUUCCUGCACUGGGGGAACAAGCUGUGAAUUUGAGUUGGAUGAGGGUGAAGGAUACAUCUGCCAGUUAGUCUGCUUAAUUCCAGAUGGGAUCCCUUGUGGUUGGUCUCUUUAUUUUGGGGCUGCUCAGUUGAAGUUGGUGGCACAUUGGGAUUGGUGGUGAAACCAGGCAGUAACCAAGGUUGUCCACACUGAACAGAGUGGAAGAAGCUGGGGUCUUGUUGGGUUUAUUUCUUCUGGUGAUGAGAACUGUCACUUGCAUGUCUGAAAGGACUGUGUUAAACCAACUCCUCCAAUUACUCCUCUUAACAAUAGAUGGUUCAGUGCAAGACUUAUUUUGGGUAGUGCAGCAUUAUGGUUUAUUUUAGAAGGUAAGACUUCAGUGGAACUUCUUUGCAGUUAGAAACUUGGAGGGCUGAUUCAUUUCACUUGGAGCACAGAUGAGCUGAUGGUAACAACAACAAAUCAUGUUUUCUGAGAGCUAUAGAAAUUAUUCAUAGAUGCUGAAAUCUCUAGCUGUUUUAUGCCUACCUUAUAUUUUAAUUUAUGCUUGCUUUUCAAACACCAGCUUUUAAAAAUGUAUAUUCUCUCUUUCAAUGCAUCCUCUUUUCAAGUGAGAGAAGGAGUAAUUUUAGACAAUUCUGGACCCAAAUAAUUUAAAAAACAUAAAAAGCAAAUAAAAGUCCUUCUUUAUGUAAUAUCCCUUUCUACCAUUUGUUCCAAUAAAGAAUAAAAGCCAGAUGGUGUUAUGUGGGUGUUAGAGCAGGGGAUGGUAAUCAGGGCUCUGGAGUCUAUUUGCAGCCAAGAUGGUGGCCUGGAUUUUAUUCCUCCUGAUGGACUUGUGUUGCAGAAUUUGUUACAUUCAUGGAGUUGGGCAUGAAGCAAAGGGGUGAAGCAAUGAUUUCAGCUCUGUUCUGAGGUGGGAGGAAAGCAGGGUUCAGGUUUUGGCUCUGCUUCAGCUUUUGUGCAUUUACAGGAGAGGCCCAGGCAUGUAAACUCUUCCAGUCCCAGCCCUGGAUCUGAGGAGAGAACAGGGUGCUGGCAUCCCAGCUCUGUUCCUGACAGAAGUGAGUGUACCUUUAUCCUUGUGGUGCUGAACCACUUGGAGCAAGACAAAGACCCACCUUAGAGCAUAAGGUGGUCACAAGAGACGUGCAGAAGACCUGAGUUAAUGUUUCUCAAGGCAGGGGCUAGCAGGAGAAGUGCUCAGCACUGGUCACUUGGGUAAGUUUGCUCUUUCCAGGUCAGACUCAUGCAGGAGGGUGGAGUUUGGGACAUGACUUUCGCUGCUGAGAUGCCUCUUAGCUCAGAUGUAGCUGCAGAGCAUGAGAGCAUGUCUGGAUCCAGAGUGAACAUGCCUUUGGCAUAAAGAUUUUCAAAGUCAGUAUUUUUCAUCAAUCAGCAGUGGUAUGUAUCAGAAACGUUUGUAGUUUUACUCUUCCUGUUAGUAGAAAGCUACUAGCAAUUUUUGAUUGCAAAUAGGAGCACUUAUGGGUAAAGCUUUUUUGUUCCUUACUGCUGUAGCCUUGCUGCCUCCUCUUCAGCAGUUACUGGUUUGGAGUGGGCUUGUUACUUAUUUUCAUCUUUUUUUUCCCCCCAAUAAAUACUCCUUGCCAAGAGUAUCAAAUCUGAGAACUGGAGUGAGUGUGUUGCAAGAAAAUGGAGAGAUGCCGCAAAGUGCCUUGGUACAAGGGAAUGUAAGGAGGGAUUUCACAGAAGUUCUGCUAGUUCUGCAUUGUUUCCCUGCACUCAGCUGGAGGGAAACACAAUGCAGAACUAGCAGAUACAAACAGUUAAAGAAAAAAGGUAAUAAAAUGGUGAUAUUGAGUAAAGGGAAUAGAUUUUGAGAUCUGUAGGCAAUAGAUUGGAAGGAGUGUGAUGGAUAAGCAGGAAAGGUGAGCAGAGUAACAUGGACAGAAAGGAGCUCCUCCCACUCCUGCAACGUGCUUUAGACAAAGGGGUGGUAACUCACUCAGUGGGACCAGGUGGACUUUGUCUGCUCUCCACGGCUCAGCAGCACUUGUUUCACUGCCCCAAAGAAUGGGGUUCAGACUCUCAGCACAGAUUGUUGCCCUUUUGACAAGCAGUGCAGGGGACUGUCAAAGGCUUUCCAAAGCACUCAGUGUCUGCGGGAAAACGCUGCACAACAUCUGAGAUUGUGAUCAGUUAGGAGCCAUCUGAAGGGGAGCUGGGAGAUUUUAAAGCUCCGAUUUCUGUCCUAGAAUGCUCAAAAAAGCCAGUGCUCUGAGAUGUUAAUCCUGUGACUGGCAUUCCUGUCUCCAGCAGGCACAGGGGGACAGCUCCUGCGUUCAGAAAAGUCUCUUCUAUUUAGAACUUCAGGCACAUUUUUCAUGUGGGGAAAAACCUUACUGCUGGUGAAAGAUCCAAGGAGAAAGCUGAUGUGUGGGGUGAAGGCUGUUGAGUGCUGGGAAAUAUUUGCUCUAGAGGGGUGUGUGAAAUUCCUCUCUAAAAUUGAAAUUAAUCUGGUCUCUGGUAGCUGUUUUGGGUCUGAACAGUUCAACUGGAUGAUGAUGCACCAGAGGACUUUGCACCCAGGGGUAUGUAAUAAACUAGUUUUCAAAUGCAUACCCAGUUCCCAUGAGCACACCAUCCCAUUUUCUCACUGCAACCUCAAAGCUUUUUUACCUGGAAAAACCUACAUUUGAACUGGCCUGGCCCCAGCCAGGGGUCACUGGGGGAAAACAGAAAAAUUUCCCUUAGCAUGAAUGUCUAGCUCAGUCUAGAAUCAAAUUCUUCAUACUCAAACUUUCUUCUGCCACUAGAGGUGGCCAGAUUUCUUUUUCUCCUUCAUCUUAAUUUUCUUGUUCCCUGUAAUGAACCAUAUUUUUUAUUAUGCUUAUUCCUAUUCUUAUUUUUUUGUUCUGAUUCCUGUACUUACCUUUUAUUUAUAGCCUUAUCAUAGGAUGGUUUGGAUUGCAAUGGACUUUUGAAGGCCAUCUAGUCCAACCCCCAUGCAAUGACAGCGUCCUUCUUCAACUAGAUGAGGUUCUUUCUCAUCUUAGUCUUAUUCCGCUUGCUCUCUCUCUUCAUCUGCUACUGCUGCGACUAUAAUUACUGUAAGUGCAAUACCCGUGGUAUUAGCUCAUCAUUAUAUCACCCUUCAGACCGAAACUCCCAUCCCAGAGCCUUCCCAGGGGGUUCAAGCCCCAGGUAAGAGCAGGCAGGAUGAGCCAGCAGAGGGAGUGGUUCCCACGCUGUUGUGCCAGCUGGCUUUGCCCAGGAGGUGGCCCAUGGCUGCUGGAGAACUGCCCAGGGGAGCUGUUGGUGGUGGACAGGGAUGAUGUAGGCUGGUGGUGUAGUCCUGUUCAGGGUCGGGUGAGGCUUCAGAGCCCUGGAGGCAGAAGAGCCAGCACACAGCCAUCUGGGUAACACGAUAAGGCACUCGUGGCAUCUGAAAAGAAAGGCACAGCCAUCUAAAAAAAGCCCUCUGGUGGAGAGUAGGCAUUAUUUAACACCUUAAGUGAACGGGCUCUGACCUGUGCACCAGAUUUAGGCUUGAGGAAUGUGUACAAUCAUUUCAUUUUAAAAGCAGACGUGCACAGAGCUGGCAUGCAGACAAUCAUCAUCAUCAUCAACAAAUAUCCUUACAUACAGCUUGAGAGUAUGAUUUGGGGCUACCCCACUGUGCAAGGCACUGUACAAGCACCUAGAUGUGAGUAGCCCUGUCCUCUUAAGCUGUUCAGUCUUUAAACUGAACAGUAAAAGUGGUGGCACACGAGAACCUGACCGCCUGGGCUUUCACUGCCUGUUUCUGGCAUGGUUGAGCUGGAAAAAGAUGUCAGAGGCAGCAGGGUAGGAUGUGCACUGAGAGGAUGAAAGCCAGAGCUACAAGAGGGUUGCUACAAGAAAACCCAUGAGGGAGUUUUUCCAAGGGCAUGUAGUGAUGGGACAAGGGGAAAUGGUUUUAAAGAGGAAAAGUUUAGACUGGGCAUAAGGAAGAAAUUCUGCACUGUGAGGGUGGUGAGAUACUGGCACAGGCUGCCCAGAGAAGUUGUGGAUACCCUGUUACUGGAAACCUUCCAUGCCUGGGGCUUUGAGAAACUUGGUCUCAUGGAAGGUGUCACUGCCCGGGGUAGGGGUGUUGGAACUACAUGUGGUCUUUAAAGUUCCUUCUAUGAAAUCAGAUGGGAUUUACACCAAGCAAUAAUUUUUUGCACACCAAAUUGCAUUGUAGUUUUAAUAGCAGGCCUACCAGAAAGGGUCAUCUUAAAAAUGACCUUAAAUUACUUAAAAUGACCAAGUAACUGGCCAAGCAAGAGGACCUCCACCUCCUCACACCUUACAACACCUUUCUCCCUCCUGGAGCUUCGUCCUGGCAGGACUUUUCCUACCCGAGCUGAUCAAGACCCAAAGCAGGACUGAAGGAGGGAUGUCAGCCGCCAUCACGGUCCCCUGUUAUUCUGAGCCCAGCUGUCCUGGAGGAAGCUUCACAUGUCUGGAGGGUCACUGGCUGUCCACCCUGCUUCUGCAGGGGACUGAGGGUGCUCCCAGGGCACACAGGCACCAGGGAAGCCAUGAUCAAGGAGUCAGAGUCCACCAAGCAGUUGGAGAAGCCACCACAAUGAUCAGGUGUGAGUACGACCUCCAGUGAGGUGGUGGCGGCACUGCCCUCCUCCAACUUUUAGCUUGCCAAAAGCUCCAUUGCUGCCUCAUCAUAUGGUACCAGGGAAAAAAAGUUUUCUUUCAGCACUAAACUUUGCUGCAGGUCUUCAGCCUCUCACAGGGCCUACACGGACUCACAUAAUUGCUGUCCUGUCAUAAUUGCUGCCCUGCUUUGUGUCAGACUGGAGGGCACUGGCACAGGACUGAGUUCUGGACUGCGGCAGGGCCAUGCAGGGUUACUCUGGAAAAUAUGCACACUGAUAUUUUGUUCAUCUGAAGCUGAAGUGGUAGGUAUGAAAGAAAAUAGCUUGUGGUCUUCAUACCUCGAGUCAAUGAAUUCCUGGGCCUUUUAUAGCUCAGGAAUGCUGGGCACUCGCGUUUGGUUUUACAAGGCUUCGAAGCUGUAGCUUAAGGUCUGGAUGAACAUUAAUCACAGUGGCACGAUGACAGCUGCUCGAGUUUUUACCCUCUCUCAGGUGGGACUGCACUAGCACAUUGUGCCCUGUUUUCCCCACUUGCUCUGGUUUGCAGCAAAGGGGGGUUACUGCCUUCAGGCCGACUUACCUGAGUCAGAGUGGUCGAGGAACACAGCAGGACGCUCAGACCAGCCCCAUUUGUUGGAUGGCAUCCAGACCCCAGGCUGGGGAUCCCGAUGACAAGCAUCCUUCCUGCCAGGGAGCGAGACCUGAACAUUUCACCUUUCACUGCAGUUUACUUUAAGUCCAGACCCAGAAGGUAUUGAAAGAUGUCAGAAAUCGCAGCUUUUCCCCAAGAAUGCACCUCAUUGCUGUUUGUAUGUUUGCCCUUCUCAAACUUUGGGAGGAGAAAGCCCUGAACAUGGUAACAAGCCAGAGCAGAGGAGAUGCCACAGCUGCACACUGCACCAAAUCCAAGUGACUCCUGAAAAGGUCUUGUCAUUUUGAAUGGGAAUAGAUUUUUGAAUGCUUCUAAAUGGCAAUCUUGCUAAUAUUUUUAGCUCUUCUAAACUUUCUUUACAUGAUGCAGGCCCAUUACUUACUUUUCGAAUAAUGGAUUUUAAUGUUUAAACAAACUGACCCUUGAAGUUUGCUUCUUUGCAUGUUUAUUCCUGACAUUAAUAUGCAAAAUAUAUUUAACCUGCAGACAGAGUUACAGUGACAUUCUUUAUUUUUGGCCAGAGCAUCUGUGCUGAAGACACAACCAAAAAAUGGAAUAAGCCCCCCCUCCCUGUUAUACCUGAACACAGCUGGCCAUGAGGCUUUUCCCAUCCUAAUACUGGUUUGGCAUCUGUUGAGUUCCUUUUCUUCCUUUUCUUCCAUGGCCUUGAAAAACAAGAUACGUGCCAAAUUUUACUGUCAAAUCUUGACUUGAAGGAAGUCAAAAAGCCACAGUCUCAACAAUCACCAAACUUUUGUUCUUGGCACAGGAAAUACUACCAGCUGCCAUGUCUUGAAGAAAGAGUGAUCAGAUGAGCCAGGCUGAUCUGUGCCUGCAUGGGGAACACACGGUGCCACGAUCUGGGUCAAGCAAACUUCUCAAGCUUCUGCAACUCCCCUGGAUCUUUGCUGACACACUCCUGCUCAGGACAGGUUGGUUCUUCAAUGUGUGCAAGGAUCUGGAGAGAAAAGGUUGGGACAGGCAGAGAAGAACUCACAAAAGAGAGAGGCCCUCUGUGGCAUUCAUGCCUUUCAUGCCUGCAGCUUCCUGGGAUCCGAUUCAGGAAUUUUUUAACAGACACUUUCAGAGCCUGCUGAGCAACCUCCCUAACUCAAAGCCAGACACUUGGCUAACUUUUGCUCCCUUCCCCCCAUUUAUUUCAGUUGCAUAAACAAACAUAGGAACAAUAUUUCCACCAGCCUGGAGCAUUCCCCUUGCCAGCACUACAGCAUGAAAUGGGAUCUGGUCUUUACUCCUUACAGAGCACAGGAUAUAAUUCCAGAACAUCUAGAUAUAAAAGAUAUUUAGGUACCUCACUCACACUGAUCCAACAUCUGUCAAAUAAAGAAGCCCCAAACCUUCCAGAAAAAAAAAAAAUCAGCAGGAGUUCUAUGCUUAGCAGGAACAUAUGGCUAAAGCAUAUUCAUAUCUUCACCAAAGUAUCUUAUUAAGUUUCUCCUCUCCUUUCCUUCCAGUGAAGAUGAUCUCACUAAAAUCAUCUUUUCUUGGUCAUCUCUAAAAUCAUGCUCUUCUUGCUUGGGCAAGCUCCCAGGUUGAUGCUCUGCCUUGGAGCCCCCCUGAUUUCCUGCCCGCAUACACCUACUGGUGUCCUGCUGUGAGGCCUUUCAUUAACACCUGUGAAAAAUGGAGAAGAUGGAACCUUAAAAGUCCCUGAGUCUCCCCUCUUAGUCUUAGCACAUUGUUUGCAAAGCUUAAAGGUUUUUUUUAAAGUCCUUUCUUCUGGAGGACUGAAUGUAUUCACACUGGAAAAGUGAGAAAAUAAACAUGUUUAUACAUUUAUUAUCUACAAUAAUAAGGCACAAAUUUAAACAGCAAAGAAUAAGAAAUCUUUGGCUGACCAACAAUAUCAAACAUUUGCUGGGGGUGACACAUAACGUCCUUCAUUUUCCCCCCUAUGUACAAAUAACCCUCCAGCUGUACAACACUGUACACAAACUUCUCUAUACAACCAACAACAAUAAAAAAAUGACAGUAUUUUACAACUAAUUACCACCAACAUCACCUGGAAUGGCUACAGCACGGUUUCCCAAUAACACAAAACAGUUCAAAGAGCUGGGAAGGCCAGCACAAAUGGAGCUGCGCCGCUCUGCUCAGCGGGGCUGACACAUGGCAGUAGUACUCCAUGCAAGUCCUGCAAGUGCUUGGGCUGGAGGGAGACACACCCGUCCUCCAGACUUUCCCUCCAGGAAAACUAACAUCUCUUGAGUUCAACACAAUAGGUGAGAAUGAACCUUUAGGUUUAUUUGAGCUGUUGCCUACAAUGAGAGUUGCCAAUUCGCUGUCUCAACAGUUUCCUGUAUGUGAUCGUGAAUCUGGGGCAGCAUCAAGUGUAAAGCCAGCUGUGGAUAGCAGAAACUGGAGACACUGUGAUCUUCCCAAGGAGGAGUGCUGUACUCUAGCUGACUUGGAAAAACAGAGCUGAACCACCAUCAAACAUAACUGAGAGCUGAUCCAUGCUGAUCCAGCACUGUUUCUCCUGGACACCUCACUGCCUGCACACAACUUACCAAAAAGUUUCAGCAUAAGAAAUAUUACAGCUGGUAACAAAAUGCUUAGGGACUUCCAAGUAUCUGGGUACUUUGAAUCCUUAUUUCUUGGAUAAAAAGUGAUGCAAUUAAAAAUUCACCAUCA